rnacentral:rRNA from 1 species
UGANCUGGCAGGCUAGAGUGUGUCAGAGGGGGGUAGAAUUCCACGUGUAGCAGUGAAAUGCGUAGAGAUGUGGAGGAAUACCGAUGGCGAAGGCAGCCCCCUGGGAUAACACUGACGUUCAUGCUCGAAAGCGUGGGUAGCAANCAGGAUUAGAUACCCUGGUAGUCCACGCCCUAAACGAUGUCAAUUAGCUGUUGGGCAACUUGAUUGCUUAGUAGCGUAGCUAACGCGUGAAAUUGACCGCCUGGGGAGUACGGUCGCAAGAUUAAAACUCAAAGGAAUUGACGGGGACCCGCACAAGCGGUGGAUGAUGUGGAUUAAUUCGAUGCAACGCGAAGAACCUUACCUGGUCUUGACAUGUACGGAAUCUUCCAGAGACGGGAGAGUGCCUUCGGGAACCGUAACACAGGUGCUGCAUGGCUGUCGUCAGCUCGUGUCGUGAGAUGUUGGGUUAAGUCCCGCAACGAGCGCAACCCUUGUCAUUAGUUGCCAUCAUUCAGUUGGGCACUCUAAUGAGACUGCCGGUGACAAACCGGAGGAAGGUGGGGAUGACGUCAAGUCCUCAUGGCCCUUAUGACCAGGGCUUCACACGUCAUACAAUGGUCGGUACAGAGGGUAGCCAAGCCGCGAGGUGGAGCCAAUCCCAGAAAACCGAUCGUAGUCCGGAUUGCACUCUGCAACUCGAGUGCAUGAAGUCGGAAUCGCUAGUAAUCGCAGGUCAGCAUACUGCGGUGAAUACGUUCCCGGGUCUUGUACACACCGCCCGUCACACCAUGGAAGUGGGGGAUACCAGAAGUAGGUAGGCUAACCGCAAGGAGGCCGCUUACC